CCCCUAGAUGUUCUGGGCCGCACGCGCGCUACACUGAACAGUUCAACAAGUCUUAACCUUGGCCGAUAGGUCUGGGUAAUCUUUGAACGCUGUUCGUGAUUGGGAUAGACCUUUGCAAUUAUGGGUCUUCAACGAGGAAUUCCCAGUAAACGCAAGUCAUCAGCUUGCAUUGAUUACGUCCCUGCCCUUUGUACACACCGCCCGUCGCACCUACCGAUUGAAUGGUCCGGUGAAAUCUCGGGACGGCGGCUUGGUCGCUUGCGUCCGACUGCUGAAACUUGAUUAAACCAUNUNAUUUAGNGGAAGGUGAANUCGUANCA
rnacentral:rRNA from 1 species